rnacentral:rRNA from 1 species
CAGUAGCCGCGGUAAUACGUAGGGUGCAAGCGUUAAUCGGAAUUACUGGGCGUAAAGCGUGCGCAGGCGGUUGUAUAAGUCAGAUGUGAAAUCCCCGGGCUCAACCUGGGAACUGCAUUUGAGACUGUAUGGCUAGAGUGUGUCAGAGGGGGGUAGAAUUCCACGUGUAGCAGUGAAAUGCGUAGAUAUGUGGAGGAAUACCGAUGGCGAAGGCAGCCCCCUGGGAUAACACUGACGCUCAUGCACGAAAGCGUGGGGAGCAAACAGGAUUAGAUACCCCGGUAGUCCCUGUCUCUUAUAC